rnacentral:rRNA from 1 species
UACAGAGGGGGCAAGCGUUGUUCGGAAUUACUGGGCGUAAAGCGCGCGUAGGCGGCUUUGCAAGUCGGGUGUGAAAUCCCCAGGCUUAACCUGGGAACUGCAUUCGAGACUGCAUUGCUAGAGUAUGGGAGAGGGAAGUGGAAUUUCCGGUGUAGCGGUGAAAUGCGUAGAUAUCGGAAGGAACAUCAGUGGCGAAAGCGACUUCCUGGACCAAUACUGACGCUCAUGUGCGAAAGCGUGGGGAGCCAAA